CCUACGGGAGGCAGCAGUCGAGAAUCAUUCACAAUGGGGGAAACCCUGAUGGUGCGACGCCGCGUGGGGGAAUGAAGGUCUUCGGAUUGUAAACCCCUGUCAUGUGGGAGCAAAUUAAAAAGAUAGUACCACAAGAGGAAGAGACGGCUAACUCUGUGCCAGCAGCCGCGGUAAUACAGAGGUCUCAAGCGUUGUUCGGAAUCACUGGGCGUAAAGCGUGCGUAGGCUGUUUCGUAAGUCGUGUGUGAAAGGCGCGGGCUCAACCCGCGGACGGCACAUGAUACUGCGAGACUAGAGUAAUGGAGGGGGAACCGGAAUUCUCGGUGUAGCAGUGAAAUGCGGAGAGAUCGAGAGGAACACUCGUGGCGAAGGCGGGUUCCUGGACAUUAACUGACGCUGAGGCACGAAGGCCAGGGGAGCGAAAGGGAUUAGAUACCCUAGUAGUC
rnacentral:rRNA from 1 species